rnacentral:lncRNA from 1 species
ACUGAAAUAUUUUUACAUGAACAGCUACAUGGACCAACAUGGGAAGUGAAACUAGGAAGGAGAGACUCCACAACAGCAAGUAGAACCAAAGCCAACAAUGAUAUUCCGUCUCCAGUUAUGGACUUACCUGCACUUAUCAACAACUUCAAGAAGCAAGGAUUGGAUAAGGAAGACCUCGUUGCGCUCUCCGGUGGCCAUACAUUAGGGUUUGCUCAGUGUUUCACCUUCAGAAAUCGCAUCUACAGUGAAACUAACAACAUUGACUCUACCUUUGCAAGACAACGCCAAGCAAAUUGUCCACGUAGUGGAGGUGAUUCCAAUCUUGCUUCUCUUGAUCCAACACCAGCUCUUUUCGACUCGAAAUAUUUUAGUAACUUGGUGUCCAAGAAAGGACUUUUGCAUUCUGAUCAGGCUCUAUUUAGUGGUGGAAAAACUGAUGAUCUUGUAAAAAAAUAUAGUAAGAACUUAAAAACUUUCUCCAAAGAUUUUGCUGAGUCUAUGAUUAAGAUGGGUAAUAUCAAGCCAUUGACAGGGAAACAAGGCCAAAUUCGGAUAAAUUGCAGGAAGGUGAACUAAAUGGCGCUAAUGGAACCAAGUGUUUCAAGAAUUUGAUUAUUUUUCUAUUGUAAUUGUGAUUUUUGUUCAUUUAGAAUCUUUGUUGUUACCUAAAAUAAGUCAAUUGUGAAUUGAGAGUUGUGUGGUAAUUUUGUUUUUGAAAGAAAUUGAUUAUGUUGUCUCAGUUGGCGAGUGAAUUGAAUCCUUAUAAUUAUUUGAAUGAAUGAAUUCAUUUUCGCUUUUAAGUAGAUUGAUUAUCUUUGUACUGUUUGAUAAAUAGAAGACUAUUAACAUUAUUGUUUAGUUUCCUUGAACUACUUCCCUCGAAUAUUAAUAUAUCUAUAAUAUAUAUGUUGUUUAGAUACUCUACAUAACUGGUAUGAGUACCUUUGACUUGCUGAUCAUUUGUGUAGUUCAGUUACAUUUUCCUAUUAAUUAGGCAAUGAUCAUUCGACUAUAAUCUGUUUAUUAGACUAGUAAAAUACAGACGGGUCAAAGCAUCUAAAUUUUUUCAGAAAUUCAUAUAUAAAAAAUAAAGCUAUCAUUUGCAGUUGGCCCAAAUACAGAGGGGUCAAAGCAUCUAAAUUUUUUCAGAAAUUCAUAUAUAAAAAAUAAAGCUAUCAUUUGCAGUUGGCCCAUUAGCUAAGUUGGCUAUAGCAUCAUGCUAAUAACGCAAAAGGUCGUAGGUUCGAGACCUGCGUGGGCAAUUUUUCUUUGCUUCUUAUUUUCUUCCUUUUCCAUUAUGUGCUGAGGUAAAAGUAAUAAAAACCAAACCAAAUACGAGUUUACCACGACUAAGGGUGGAAAAUGGUCGGAUCGGAUAUGAGUGAGUCAAAAUAAGUAAUUUAAAAAACGAAUAAAUUAUCUGACUCGUCCAUAUUUGAGAUGGAUAAAAAACGGGUUCUGGCUAAUAAUGUGAAUAUUCAUAUUAUCCAUGGCUUCUUGAACAUGAUCACUUAUGGGAGAAUUCCUAGUCUUCCAAACUUGAGGAACCCCAAUUUCAGUAUGGGGAACUCUUUUUUUUGGAAAGUUACUUUUAAGUUUUGUAGCGACAUAGCCGUCACAAUAUGUAUACAUUCGGUGGCGACCUUACGGUGUCGCCACUAUUAAUAUUCAGUAAUGGAACUACGUUCCAAUAAGAGACGGUAUGAACAUACUCAAAUCAUGAAAAUGACUCAAACAAAAGAGUUGUACCCCAAGCUCCUCAAUACCAUUACAACACGAAGCUGAGACCCCGUCUCACAUCAUAGAAAUAGAGUACCUGAAUCUGCAUCGAAGGUCAUAACUUCACGUUGCCUAGCCACAACGCGCGAUCCUAUCCACACACUAUUACACUUGAAGCACCUCGAGUCACCAUGCUCAAAAUACACAGCCACACACAGAUUAAUGUCUGAAACCAAGCAAUCCAUCACACCCUCGGUGAAGCAAGUAAUAUACACCAUUCAGUCCUGAAAGGACACAACCGAUGUGCCAUUCGUCGAGCAACUCCCAAUGCGGACUUCCCUCAGGAGCUAGAAAAACAAGGUAGACAAAGUAACAUAUGGAGAACUAUUCUCAACAUGACAUAACCGAUGUGCCAUUCGUCGAGCAACUCCCAAUGCGGACUUCCCUCGGGAACUAGAAAAACAAGGUAGAUAAAGUAACAUAUGGAGAACAAUUCUCAACAUCACACUGUUGCGGCGUGCAACCCGAUCCAGAUUACACACAUGUGGCGGCGUGCCACCCGGCCACACAAAUAUCUCACAUAAGGAGAUGGACAUUGAGCCAAAUUUUCCCAUUGUAUCAAAAUACCGAGUAUCGGUCGUAAGCACACUGAGUGCAUAAUCAUAUUAUCUGUAGCGUCAUAAGCUACAAAACUCGGCUUCCAUUAUGAAUCUCGAUAGCACCACAAUAUGUGUGCGCAUCGUCCGAAAAUCACAUUGCCUUACAUCACAGAAUAGCAACUCAUAGAUCUUCCCAAAUCCCUAGCAGGUCCAAUAACGAUCGAAUCAACCUAUCCUUUAUUAAUACAAUUCAGGACUAACAAAGCCAACUCAAGCUAAACACGUAUGCGGUCAUUUUAUCCACAAACUCAUUACCAAGAAGUCUAAAGCUGCUUCUUCCACUACUAUAACUCAUGUCGGAGCGUUACAAUACGAUUCUCGGCACCAAAUAAAUACUAAAAUUCACAAUUUUGCCGAACGACAUGCCCGACCACAAGGAACGCAUCCGAAAAGGUCCUUCAAUACAAGAACUGAAUCACUGGUAGAAAACUCAACACUGACAUCUGUCACAAAGGCCCCAAUUGAGAAAAUCAAUUCUUCCCAAUCGUCCGUUGGUCUGUGGAACACAACCAUUCAGCUAGGAUAUAGUCUGAUGCCCCUCGCCAUGCAACCUGUGGCAUUUUUCGACAUAAUCCAUAGCACCAUUGUCUAGAAUAGCCCAACACUGAGACAACCAGUGCGCAACUCAACAUCAUAUACAAAAUCUAACCUACCAACAAUGAAGGAUCGACUCGGGCCUCCAAUCCCAAUAACUGCCAACAGUACCAAUACACAAUAUCCACAACCACUUCAUAGACUGUAUCAGAGAACUCCCUGUCUCUAACUCCAUAUAACAUACAAAUCACUAUACCUGACUUCCACAUUCUGCCAUAUGAAUGCCUAUCACACAUCAAGUACCAAUUCAUCCGACAAAAAUAUUUUAAAAUUUCCCCGAACAAUCAACAAACUCAAACAUCAACAGUCAAUCCAAUCAAGAGAAUGUCGUAUUCCCACCAAAGUAGUAUCAACUUAAUCAUAUCCCUUCUUAUGAAACGUAUUCCCUCGUCAAAUCACUAUGAUUAGCAACACUAUUUCCUUGGUUAUAUGAGGAUCAUUCACCCUAAUCAUCUGAAAAUCGAUUCUUAAAUCACCAGCAGCUGCCCAUGCUGCUUAAGAAUUUAAUGACUUUCCAUUCCGACUGAACCGAGCAUUACACACACAAAUCUCAAUCCUCCAAACAUAUUGCAUCUACUAUACUACACUCUGAUAACAUGAGAACUUUUCAUCUCCCUUUCCCCCAAGCAGACAUCGACGCACCACACUCGGAUAACAUGAGAACUUUUCAUCUCCCUUUCCACCAAGCAGACAUCGACGCACUCAACUAGUCGAGAACUUCCAUUGAUCUCAUUUAGAAAAUAAAUCAUUACACACUCCAAGCUUCGCAGACCCACAGUAAUAUACUCAUCUUUAACCCACGGUAAAACCCAACAAGGACAUCUAUGCCAACUCUAUUGUGUAAGCUAGACCGCCGGGACUGAAUCCUUCUAUCUAAACCAAGCUGAGCAAGCCGUCAACACCCAAGAGCAAUGCUGCAAAGUGCUUGAAAAGCUCACUACCUCGGACAGAUACAAAGGAUUGAUCAUAUCUUUACUAUACCGAUUCGGUCCACUAACACGCUAUUUCAUUUGUCUAGAUUUACUUCUUAUUCAUUUUUCAACUCGGUGUACUCUCUUGCUGUAGCACCAAAAUGCCUCAAUCCAGGCUUACCACACGAGACUCGAACGUAAGACCAUACUGUCUAAGACCAAUUGGCGCACCAAAAUGCCUCAAUCCAGGCUUACCACACGAGACUCGAAUGUAAGACCAUACUGUCUAAGACCAAUAGGCCACUAUAUACUCUCUUAAACGUUCCUAAAUAUACCACCUUCUAAAAUACCCUACUUUAAAUAACUUCCUGUGAAUUUAUGUCUGCUACCUUUAUUUCCCAGAUAUUUAUACAUAGAAUCCAGUCAUUAACGUAAAAAUAUCACAAGUCUCGACCUGUUCUAACGAAAACACUGACUUAAAUACUGACUUCUUAGAAAUUGUCAAAGUAAGCUCAUUUCCUAAACCUAGAACCACUGUCGUGUUCUAAUAGUCAACAUUUUUCUAACCUAUAAAUAUACCCACAUUUUACUACUCUCAUCACAAAAAAUCAAUAACAUCACAAUAUAGAAGUGUAGAACUUCAUAGACUAUAGUAGUAAUUAAUUUUUAUAAAAUGGUUUCACGUAGCUUCUUCUUUCUUCAUGUGUUGAUCUUGUUUUCUUUAGCAGUUAUGUCGUUUUCGGAUUUGUCGUAUGAUUUCUACGAGGAUGUUUGUCCUAAAGCUUUACCAAUAAACGGGUUGUUGAGGAUGCAGUCCGAAAAGAGAAACGAAUUGGCGCUUCUCUGCUACAUCUGCAUUUUCAUGAUUGUUUUGUUAAAGUAAGCUUAUAUUUUCCUCGCACUUAAUAUUUUUCAUCUCAUUCCAACAACAACAUCCCACUAUAAUCCCAUUUAGUGGGGUCUGAAGAGGGUAGUGUGUGCACAGACCUUACCCCUACCCUUGGGUAAUGAGGUUGUUUCCAAAUAGACCCCGACAUCCUUCCAUCCAAGAACUUUCCACCUUGCUCUUGGGGAGACUCAAACUCACAACCUCUCGGUUGGAAGUGGGGGUUGCUUACCAUCAGAGCAACCCCUCUUGUCAAUUUCUAUAUUUGUGAAAGCAUAUGAGUAUUUAACCCAAAAUCUUGAAGUAAUUGGGAAUGAAGUCAUUUCUUUUGGUUAAUGCAGGGAUGUGAUGCUUCGGUUCUUCUUGACCAAACGUCAACUAUUGACAGUGAAAAAACUGCUCGUGCUAAUAACAAUUCAGCUAGAGGAUUUGAGGUGAUUGAUACAAUCAAAUCUGAGGUUGAUAAAGUUUGUGGACGUCCGGUUGUAUCUUGUGCGGACAUCUUGGCAGUUGCUGCUCGUGACUCUGUAGUGGCGUUUCGUAUUACUCCCUUCUAUCCUAACAUAAGUUAUAAAUAUCUUGGCAGUUGCAGCUCGUGACUCCGUUGUUGCUGUAUGUAUUACUCCCUUCUAUACUAAAUAUCCAUAAAUAUUAUACUGAAAAUGUUAUGAACACUUAGUAUAUAUUAUUAAACUUAAAUUUUUUUACAUGAACACAGCUACAUGGACCAACAUGGGAAGUGCAAUUGGGAAGGAGAGACUCCACAACAACAAGUAGAACCAGAGCCAACAAUGAUAUUCCAUCUCCAUUUGUGGACUUACUUGCACUUAUCAACAACUUCAAGAAGCAAGGAUUGGAUAAGGAAGACCUCGUUGCACUCUCCGGUGGCCAUACAUUAGGGUUUGCUCAGUGUUUCACCUUCAGAAAUCGCAUCUACAGUGAAACUAACAACAUUGACUCUACCUUUGCAAGACAACGCCAAGCAAAUUGUCCACGUAGUGGAGGUGAAUAUAAGGAGACUAACAUUGAUUCCACCUUUGCAAGGCAACGACAAGCAAAUUAUCCACGUAGUGGAGGUGAUUCCAACCUUGCUUCUCUUGAUCCUACACCAGCUCUUUUCGACUCGAAAUAUUUUAGUAACUUGGUGUCUAAGAAAGGGCUUUUGCAUUCUGAUCAAGCACUAUUUAUCGGUGGAAAAACGGAUGAUCUUGUUAAAAAAUAUAGUAAGAACAUAAGGACUUUCUCCAAAGAUUUUGCUGAGUCUAUGAUUAAGAUGGGUAAUAUCAAGCCAUUGACAGGGAAACAAGGUCAGGUUCGGGUAAAUUGCAGGAAGGUGAACUAAGCAAUGCUAAUGAUGCCGAUUUUUUCAGAUGUUUCAAGAAAUUUGGUUAAUUUUUAAUUGUAAUUGUUAUUUUUGUUCAUUUAGAAUCUUCAUUGUUACCUAAAAUAAGUCAAUUGUGAAUUGAGAGUUGUGG